CUAAAUGCAUGGAUGGAGAAAAGUAGCCAGUGCCUCUUUACAGGGAAGGGAUGCCGUGGAUUGAGAGUGUCCCUCAAAGAAUCAGGCUGGUGAAGUUCGCUCCGGAGCAGUUCCCUGAACACGGCAGCCCGCCGGUUGAGUAGGGGAUAACGGGUCCGAUUCGUUACGUCGGUCAAGUGAGCAUGAUGAGGCAUACUCGUGCCCAAGGCUUUUACCGUCUUGGUUAGAGUAUGAUGCAUGUUAACAAGGGUGGUACCACGGUCUCUUCGUCCCUUUU
rnacentral:ncRNA from 1 species